rnacentral:rRNA from 1 species
GAGAGUUUGAUUCUGGCUCAGGACGAACGCUGGCGGCGUGCCUAAUACAUGCAAGUCGAACGCUUCUUUCUUAUCGAACUUCGGUUCACCAAGAAAGAGGAGUGGCGGACGGGUGAGUAACACGUGGGUAACCUGCCCUUUAGCGGGGGAUAACACUUGGAAACAGGUGCUAAUACCGCAUAAUCUUUUUUCUCGCAUGAGAGAAAAGUGAAAGACGCUUUUGCGUCACUAAAGGAUGGACCCGCGCUGCAUUAGCUAGUUGGUGAGGUAACGGCUCACCAAGGCCACGAUGCAUAGCCGACCUGAGAGGGUGAUCGGCCACACUGGGACUGAGACACGGCCCAGACUCCUACGGGAGGCAGCAGUAGGGAAUCUUCGGCAAUGGACGAAAGUCUGACCGAGCAACGCCGCGUGAGUGAAGAAGGUUUUCGGAUCGUAAAACUCUGUUGUUAGAGAAGAAUAAGGAUGAGAGUAGAAAGUUCAUCCCUUGACGGUAUCUAACCAGAAAGCCACGGCUAACUA